rnacentral:lncRNA from 1 species
GUUCGCUGUAUUCUGGGCACAUCAUCUCUGUAAAAUUAUCAAUCAAAUUAGUAGAUAACAAAUUUAAUUUAAGAAUAAAUGAUUCAGUUAUUAAACUGUAAAAAAAAGAAGUUUAAAUGUGUUACAUAAUAUGCCAGAUCUUCGUACUGUCGGCAUAUGAUAGUCCAAUCAUCCAUGGUGAUGCUAUCAUAGGACUGCAGCCGUACUGCCUCCUCCCCAUGAUCCUGCACCAUCCGGUACCAAUGCUAAUGUAUAUGAUGGCGAUAAUCCUUGAAAUGCAACAAUAAUUGAGUGUCGAUGGCUCACCUCACACGAUCCUCCUCAAAAUUAGCGAUG